UUAGCCAUGCAUGUCUAAGUAUAAAUUCUUGUACGAUGAAACUGCAGACGGCUCAUUACAACAGUGAUAAACUAAUAGACUUUCGGGUUUUACCUUUUGGAUAACCGCAGUAAAUCGGGGCUAAUACAUAGAAGCGAGGGGUGACUGAUUUAUCGGAAGCUCCGCGAUUAUUAGCAUUCAACCAAUACCCGCAAGGGUUCUGUUGGUGAAACCGAAUAAUAUUGCAGAUCGAAGAUUUAUCUUCGACAAGUCUACUGUGUCACUGCCCUAUCAACUUUCGAUGGUACGGUAUUGGCCUACCAUGGUUGUAACGGGUAACGGGGAAUUAGGGUUCGAUUCCGGAGAGGGAGCCUGAGAAAUGGCUACCACUUCUACGGAAGGCAGCAGGCGCGCAAAUUACUCAAUCCCAAUACGGGGAAGUAGUGACAAUAAAUAUCGAUGCCUAUCCAUUUAUGGAAGGGUAAUUGAAAUGAACACAAAUUAAAACUCUUAAUUAAUACAAUUGGAGGGCAAGUCUGGUGCCAGCAGCCGCGGUAAUUCCAGCUCCAAUAGCAUAUACUAAAGUUGUUGCAGUUAAAAAGCUCGUAGUUGAAGUUAAAGCUUUAUUUGGGUUAAAAAUCCAUUUGCCUUUUAACGGUUAAAUAGGAUUCCAGUAUUGCUUUUUUAAAGUUCAGUUUGUAUUGCCUUUGGUAGUAUUUAUUUGGACAUUUCACUGUGAGAAAAUUGUGGUGUUUAAAGCAGGCGUCUCUGUCUGAUCUUUUGCAGCAUGGUAUGAUGGAACAUGACAUUUUGCGCAAUUGGUUGCGAUUAAAGUGUAAUGAUUAAUAGGGAUGGAUGGGGGUGUUCAUAUUGGUGGGCGAGAGGUGAAAUUCGUUGACCCUAUCAAGAUGAACUUCUGCGAAAGCAUUCACCAAAUACUUCCCCAUUAAUCAAGAACGAAAGUUUGGGGAUCGAAGACGAUCAGAUACCGUCGUAGUCCAGACUAUAAACUAUGUCGACCAGGGAUCGGUUAAAACUUUUUAAAAGUUUAAUCGGCACCUUGUGAGAAAUCACGAGUGUUUAGAUUCCGGGGGGAGUAUGGUCGCAAGUCUGAAACUUAAAGGAAUUGACGGAAGGGCACACAAUGGAGUGGAGCCUGCGGCUUAAUUUGACUCAACUCGGGAAAACUUACCAAGCUAAGAUAUAGUAAGGAUUGACAGACUAAGAGAUCUUUCAUGAUUCUAUAAGUGGUGGUGCAUGGUCGUUCUUAGUUGGUGGAGCGAUUUGUCUGGUCAAUUCCGAUAACGGACGAGACCUCGACCUGCUAACUAGUAGUAUUUAUUGGCCGUUAUGGAUGAUAGCUAUUCGGGGUUUGGAAGGGUUUCGGCUCUCUCCGCUUCGUGUGGUGUGUAAUCUGGUCGGAUAGGUACGAAUUAAAACUUCUUAGAGGGACUACCUGCCUCAAGCAGGCGGAAGUCCGAGGCAAUAACAGGUCUGUGAUGCCCUUAGAUACCUUGGGCCGCACGCGCGCUACAAUGUAGAAAGCAAAAAGGUUCCUGGUCCGGAAGGAUUGGGUAAUCAAUUGAAUUUUCUACGUAACUGGGAUUGAUCUUUGUAAUUAUUGAUCAUCAACGAGGAAUUCCUUGUAAGCGUAAGUCAUUACCUUAUGCUGAAUAUGUCCCUGCCCUUUGUACACACCGCCC
rnacentral:rRNA from 1 species